GGCCUAACACAUGCAAGUCGAGCGCGAAAGUCUUCGGAUGAGUAGAGCGGCGGACGGGUGAGUAACGCGUAGGAAUCUACCUGGUAGUGGGGGAUAACUCGGGGAAACUCGAGCUAAUACCGCAUACGCCCUGAGGGGGAAAGCGGGGGAUCGCAAGACCUCGUGCUAUCAGAUGAGCCUGCGUAGGAUUAGCUAGUUGGUGGGGUAAAGGCCUACCAAGGCGACGAUCCUUAGCUGGUCUGAGAGGAUGAUCAGCCACACUGGGACUGAGACACGGCCCAGACUCCUACGGGAGGCAGCAGUGGGGAAUAUUGGACAAUGGGGGCAACCCUGAUCCAGCCAUGCCGCGUGUGUGAAGAAGGCCUUCGGGUUGUAAAGCUA
rnacentral:rRNA from 1 species